GGUUUGCUACAUCGACGUCGGCUCUUCCUAACCUGGCUGUGCAGAAGCAGCCAAGGGUGGGGGUGUUCACCCAUUAAAAGGGAUCGUGAGCUGGGUUCAGAACGUCGCGAGACAGUUUGUUCAAUAUCUGGUAGAGGUGUUAGUAUCUGAGAGGAAGGACCAUUUAGUACGAAAGGAACGGUGGCUCGGAGCCUCUGGUCUAUCGGUUGUCUAACAAGGCAGGCCGAGCAGCUACGCUCCAAUGGAUAACGGCUGAAUGCAUCUAAGCCGGAAACCAGCCUCGAAAAUAGAUACUUUUUUAGGGCUCUUCUAAAAGAGAAGUUUGAUAGGAUUGGGGUGUAAGUAUCAAGGUAACGAGAUAUUAAGCCUGCAAUUACUAAUCGCCUGAGGGAUAGAAUUC
rnacentral:rRNA from 1 species